CACACACUCAGAUACACACACUGACACACAUAUGAUACAGAUAAUGAUAGAUACACACACUGGCACAUACACACAGAUACACACACUGACACACAUAUGAUACAGAUAACGAUAGAUACACACACUGGCACAUACACACAGAUACACACACUGACACACAUAUGAUACAGAUAACGAUAGAUACACACACUGGCACAUACACACAGAUACACACACUGACACACAUAUGAUACAGAU